rnacentral:rRNA from 1 species
UACGUAGGGGGCGAGCGUUGUCCGGAAUCAUUGGGCGUAAAGAGCGUGUAGGCGGCUCGGUAAGUCCGCUGUAAAAGUCAAAGGCUCAACCUUUGAAUGUCAGUGGAUACUGCCGGGCUAGAGUCCGGAAGAGGCGAGUGGAACUCCUGGUGUAGCGGUGGAAUGCGCAGAUAUCAGGAAGAACACCAACGGCGAAGGCAGCUCGCUGGGACGGUACUGACGCUGAGACGCGAAAGCGUGGGGAGCGAACAGG